CUCUAUCACUCCUACGGGAGGCAGCAGUGGGGAAUAUUGCACAAUGGGGGAAACCCUGAUGCAGCCAUGCCGCGUGUGUGAAGAAGGCCUUCGGGUUGUAAAGCACUUUCAGUAGGGAGGAAGGUAGUGUAGUUAACACCUGCAUUAUUUGACGUUACCUACAGAAGAAGCACCGGCUAACUCCGUGCCAGCAGCCGCGGUAAUACGGAGGGUGCGAGCGUUAAUCGGAAUUACUGGGCGUAAAGCGCAUGCAGGCGGCCUGUUAAGUCAGAUGUGAAAGCCCGGGGCUUAACCUCGGAAUUGCAUUUGAAAACUGGCAGGCUAGAGUCUUGUAGAGGGGGGUAGAAUUUCAGGUGUAGCGGUGAAAUGCGUAGAGAUCUGAAGGAAUACCAGUGGCGAAGGCGGCCCCCCUGGACAAAGACUGACGCUCAGAUGCGAAAAGCGUGGGGAGCAAACAGGAUUAGAUACCCUGGUAG
rnacentral:rRNA from 1 species